UACGAGAGGCCCAAACGUUAUUCGGAAUUACUGGGCUUAAAGAGUCCGUAGGCGGCGCGGAAAGUGGGGUGUGAAAGCCCUCGGCUCAACCGAGGAAUUGCGCUCCAAACUACCGUGCUUGAGGAACCUAGAGGUGAGCAGAACUGAUGGUGGAGCGGUGAAAUGCGUUGAUAUCAUCAGGAAUACCGGAGGCGAAGGCGGCUCACUGGGGGUUUCUGAGCGCUGAGGGACGAAAGCCAGGGUAGCGAACGGG
rnacentral:rRNA from 1 species